AGCUACCUUGUUCUUUGCAGAUCCAGAUUUUGACUCAAUCCCUUACUUCCCUUUCUUUGUGGGCUAUACUCGGCCUUGUCUCAGGAUGGUAAGUUGGUGGUUGAAGAUCCCUCUAGUGGUGUGGGGACUGUGCUUUGGCAAAGUGAGUGGGGUUAUAUCCUGCCUGUUUGGCCCUGUCUGGGGGUAUCAUCGGAUGGAGCCACAGUGUCUCCCGACCCCUCCAGUCUCAGCCUCCAGUAUUUAUGCUGCAGUAGUUUAUGUGUCGGGGGGCUAGGGUCAGUCUGUUAUAUCUGGAGUAUUUCUCCUGUUUUAUCCGGUGUCCUGUAUGAAUUUAAGUAUGCUCUCUAUAAUUCUCUCUCUCGGUGUACCUAAGCCCUAGGACCAUGCCUCAGGACUACCUGGCCUGAUGACUCCUUGCCGUUCCCAGUCCACCUGGCCAUGCUGUUGGUCCAGUUUCAACUGUUCUGCCUGCAGCUAUGGAAUCCUGACCUGUUCACCGGACGUGCUACCUGUCCCAGACCUGCUGUUUUCAACUCUCUAGAGACAGCAUGAGCAGUAGAGAUACUCUGAAUGAUCGGCUAUGAAAAGCCAACUGACAUUUACUCCUGGAGUUGGUAGUCCGCUGUCAGCAAUGGCAUUGUUGGGCAAGGGGGAGCUGGUGCUAGCAUAAGAACUGGGCAGGUCUGUGUCUGAGCUUGUGCUGGGCAGGGCCAGAAUGGUGCUGGGACUUGGUAGGUUGGUGCUGGGGCCUGGCAGGGCUGAAAUGGUGCUGGGGCCUGGCAGGGCUGGAAUGUUGCUGGGGCCUGGCAGGGCUGGGCUAGGGCCUAGCAGGUUGGUGCUGGGGCCUGGCAGGGCUGGAAUGCUGCUGGGGCCUGGCAGGUUGGUGCUGGGGCCUGGCAGGGCUGGAAUGUUGCUGGGGCCUGGCAGGGCAGGGUUGGUGCUGGGGCCUGGCAGGGCUGGAAUGCUGCUGGGGCCUGGCAGGUUGGUGCUGGGGCCUGGCAGGGCUGGGUUCUGAAUGGGGUGAUCUGUAACGUAGGAUGGCGCAAACUCGGUUUCCAGAAAUACAACAGGGAUGUAAGGUUGUAUCCCAGCCACCCUAAAGCGAGCCUGAAUGUUCAAGGGGGUUGCAGCCAGAGGAUAGGGGAUCGCCACAAUCCCAUGAAUGUCAUAAAAUUGACAUUGUCUUCCCGGGAUUGUUCCUCAUCCAGGCAUCACACGCAGUGUUAAUGUGCCUCUUUGGCGGCCUGUAGACAGACCUGUCUAAGGGUUGAAGCCGAUGCGAGCAAUGGGGUUUGAAUGACAGCAUAAUUAUGCCAUUUUCUUUGGCAUAAUUGAGUCCAUCAAUGGACAGAUGAGACACUUGGUUUUGUCCAAAAGGAGUAAACAGGUCUUCUCCUUUGAGCACUUCGUAUGCUUGACAAUGUCUCAGGAAGUCAACAAAGGCCCGUGGCCCGUUGAUCAGGACAUGAUCGCGGAAGUUGACACGGGGUGGAUAUAAAAUACGGAGGUAUACUAUUCCCUGUGGCUGAGACAGCACAGGCCAGUGUGACGAGGGUUCCCCUUUCAGCGGAG
ensembl:lncRNA